UACGAAGGGGGCUAGCGUUGUUCGGAAUUACUGGGCGUAAAGCGCGCGCAGGCGGUCUUCCAAGUCAGUGGUGAAAGCCCGGAGCUCAACUCCGGAACUGCCAUUGAAACUGUGAGACUUGAGGAUGAGAGAGGUGAGUGGAAUUCCCAGCGUAGAGGUGAAAUUCGUAGAUAUUGGGAAGAACACCGGUGGCGAAGGCGGCUCACUGGCUCAUUUCUGACGCUCAGGCGCGACAGCGUGGGGAUCAAACAGG
rnacentral:rRNA from 1 species